UACGUAGGGCGCAAGCGUUAUCCGGAAUUAUUGGGCGUAAAGAGCUCGUAGGCGGUUUGUCGCGUCUGCCGUGAAAGUCCGGGGCUCAACUCCGGAUCUGCGGUGGGUACGGGCAGACUAGAGUGAUGUAGGGGAGACUGGAAUUCCUGGUGUAGCGGUGAAAUGCGCAGAGUAUCAGGAGGAACACCGAUGGCGAAGGCAGGUCUCUGGGCAUUAACUGACGCUGAGGAGCGAAAGCAUGGGGAGCGAACAGGA
rnacentral:rRNA from 1 species